AUUGGCAGAGCUUGCAGGGAGUGAAGUCCUUGACCUUGGGAAGGCGGCAUGGCCGUGGGCAGGCGACCCUUCCCACAGCCGCCUCCCGGGCCCGUCUGGCCGGGGCCACCCGGGGCAGCACAGGGGCUCCUUGGAAUGGAGGCCGAGCACAGGGCGCUUGUGAUGGCAUCCAGGACCCACCUGGGUAAUCCAGGGUGAUCUCAUCUUGAAAUCCUUAACUACAGCUGCAAAUUAGAUGCCUUGGCCGAGGAAACCACGGGAAUCUCAUUUGAAGAGCCCCC